CAGAUUGCAGGCUGCAACCCGCCUGCAUGAAGUCGGAAUUGCUAGUAAUCGCGGAUCAGCAUGCCGCGGUGAAUACGUUCCCGGGCCUUGUACACACCGCCCGUCACACCAUGGGAGCCGGUAAUACCCGAAGUCAGUAGUCCAACCACGUGAGGACGCUGCCGAAGGUAGGAUUGGCGACUGGGGUGAAGUCGUAACAAGGUAAC
rnacentral:rRNA from 1 species